AUUGAACGCUGGCGGCAUGCCUUACACAUGCAAGUCGAACGGCAGCAUGAUCUAGCUUGCUAGAUUGAUGGCGAGUGGCGAACGGGUGAGUAAUACAUCGGAACGUGCCCUGUAGUGGGGGAUAACUAGUCGAAAGAUUAGCUAAUACCGCAUACGACCUGAGGGUGAAAGUGGGGGACCGCAAGGCCUCAUGCUAUAGGAGCGGCCGAUGUCUGAUUAGCUAGUUGGUGGGGUAAAGGCUCACCAAGGCGACGAUCAGUAGCUGGUCUGAGAGGACGAUCGGCCACACUGGGACUGAGACACGGCCCAGACUCCUACGGGAGGAAGCAGUGGGGAAUUUUGGACAAUGGGCGAAAGCCUGCUCCAGCAAUGCCGCGUGUGUGAAGAAGGCCUUCGGGUUGUAAAGAACUUUUGUCCGGAAAGAAAUGGCUCUGGUUAAUACCUGGGGUCGAUGACGGUACCGGAAGAAUAAGGACCGGCUAACUACGUG
rnacentral:rRNA from 1 species